UGAUAUUUUAAAAUAUUGACUUCAAGUCAAAAAUUGUCACAAGCAAAAAAGAAGAACAUUACAUAAUGAUAAAAGGAUCAAUUUACCAGGAAGACAUAACAA